UACGUAGGGUGCGAGCGUUAAUCGGAAUUACUGGGCGUAAAGCGUGCGUAGGCGGUUCGUUAAGUUCGUUGUGAAAGCCCCGGGCUCAACCUGGGAAUGGCAAUGGAAACUGGCGGGCUGGAGUAUGGCAGAGGGGGGUGGAAUUCCGCGUGUAGCAGUGAAAUGCGUAGAGAUCGGAAAGAACACCAACGGCGAAAGCACUCUGCUGGGCCGACACUGACACUGAGAGACGAAAGCUAGGGGAGCGAAUGGG
rnacentral:rRNA from 1 species